UGGCUAAUAUAAAUAUUAAUCUAAUCCUUAUUGGAAGGAUUUUAGUUCUUGCUGCAUAUCACAAAUAUGUAAUCCAGAGGAGAAUGACAUUAGGCUGAAAGUGCGGAGUGCAAAAUAUGAUUUGAAUAAAAUGAUAGGGUGGUAUCUAAUAUUUCCUUUAGGGAGUACUAUACUCUGAGCUGUCACAACCGAUUGUGUAAAUAGACGAGACUGAGGGAUGUGAUCCUAAUCAUAUUGAUGAAACAUUCAUCUGAAAGACCGAGCGCAACCAGAAGGGACUCACUAGAAUACAAUUAAAUCCUAAUCUAGGGAGGAAGAAUCCUCUGCAGGCUUUCCUCUAACCCGCCACCUUCUCCUGCCUUUUCAUUUUGGAAUCAAAUAGAAGAUGGGAUAGAGAGAGGAAAUAAAGGAGACAGUGCUAGGCCAUUUGCCUGCCUGAACGACUGAACUAAUGCAGGGAGUGCUGGAUGGUGAGGAAGUAAAUCAGCAGGCCCAACACGCAUAUAAGAGUAGAUAAAGGCCUAACUUUUCUCACAUGGGUAACUAUCAACCUGCAAAGGGUUUCCACAUGUGAGUGGUGUUAAUUUGGUGCAGGAGGCCUGUGUGUUAGGAUGAAAAGUCCUUCUCUGAUCACAAGUUCAGUUCCAGGCUUGUGAGUAAAACUGUCUGCUGUAAACCAUUUAGUUUCCAUCUGCAGCAGGGAAAUGAUUUCUUACUGAUAAUAUUUAGCAGUUAAGGGGUUGUUUUCCCACCUCUACUGUUUGGUUCCUCUCAGGCUCUCCUUGCCACGGUCUCAAAUUGCCUUCCAGGGCUGGGUAGUGCACAGAGUGAAAUGGUCGCUCUAUUCUCCUGACAUAUGGCAAUAUCCCCUCAGACCAUGAUGGAGAUUGGUCAGGUGACAUUACAUAUGGUAUCAUGCAGCCUGAUUUUAGCUAAGCAUGCUGAAACACUCACUGUGCCUGUUGUAGUCCAAACCUGCUUUACAACAACACCAGAAGACAAAUAAACAUAACAGCAAAGAAGAAAGAAUAGCAAACAGAGGUUGAGACUUGCAUUUGGAAUAAGUGGCUUUCUAAUAAUCUUGCUAUUAUAGGAAAAACAAGUUCAGCAUAUGAAUUGAUUAGAUGUUCUGUUAUCUGGCAAAUUCCAGUCAAUAUCAGCUAAUUAAGCUUUAGGGUUUUAGUUCCCUUUUUUGAUCCAAAGCUUCUGGGAGCACUGCAUAGAAUAGCCGUACCUAAGCCAGGCCUUUUUUUCUUUUUUCUUCUUUUAAGUGGCGUAGGAUGUGGAAAAAGUGAGGCAGAGAAAUAAAAGGCAUCACAAGAAAGGUGUUAAGAGUUGG
rnacentral:lncRNA from 1 species